rnacentral:rRNA from 1 species
UAGUCCACGCCGUAAACGUUGAGUGCUAGACGUCGGGGGUAUUGACCCCUCCGGUGUCGAAGCUAACGCAUUAAGCACUCCGCCUGGGGAGUACGGCCGCAAGGCUAAAACUCAAAGGAAUUGACAGGGGCCCGCACAAGCGGUGGAGCAUGUGGUUUAAUUCGAAGCAACGCGCAGAACCUUACCUGGGUUUGACAUCUGGGGAAUUUCCUGGAAACAGGAAAGUGCCUUCGGGAGCCCCAAGACAGGUGCUGCAUGGCUGUCGUCAGCUCGUGUCGUGAGGUGUUGGGUUAAGUCCCGCAACGAGCGCAACCCUUGCCAAUAGUUGCCAUCAGUUCGGCUGGGCACUCUAUUGGGACUGCCGGUGUUAAGCCGGAGGAAGGUGGGGAUGACGUCAAGUCCUCAUGGCCUUUAUGCCCAGGGCUACUCACGUGCUACAAUGGCCGGUACAAAGGGCAGCCAACCCGCGAGGGGGAGCCGAAUCCCAGAAAGCCGGUCUCAGUUCGGAUUGGAGUCUGCAAUUCGACU